AGAGCAUCAAAGCAUUAUCACCGACCCAACACACACCGGCGCUGCGUAGUUUCUGCCACACAGCUGUCUGACACCGGGUGUACGGCGUCACCCCUCACUUCCUGGACAAGGCAACAUUUUCCUAAAGGCACCUGGAGACAUUGAGUACUGCCAAUGGACUGCUGAACCAAACGAAGAGCUUUUCUGCAACAUUCAUGUUGCAGAGGAGAUGGGAACUGCCACUCAGCUGCUGCCACUCAGCUACUAAAUCUGAAAUAGUUAUUCAGCAAUACAAAAAUGGUAUUGCGGGGUUCUGGGGCAGCCCCUUUGGCUCAAAUGCCAGAGCUUUCUGCUAUACCUACUGAGUUUCAGUAGAUUUUAUUGAAUAAAAGUUUCUCAAUUC
rnacentral:lncRNA from 1 species